rnacentral:rRNA from 1 species
GAUGAACGCUGGCGGCGUGCCUAAUACAUGCAAGUCGAGCGAACGGACGAGAAGCUUGCUUCUCUGAUGUUAGCGGCGGACGGGUGAGUAACACGUGGAUAACCUACCUAUAAGACUGGGAUAACUUCGGGAAACCGGAGCUAAUACCGGAUAAUAUUUUGAACCGCAUGGUUCAAAAGUGAAAGACGGUCUUGCUGUCACUUAUAGAUGGAUCCGCGCUGCAUUAGCUAGUUGGUAAGGUAACGGCUUACCAAGGCAACGAUGCAUAGCCGACCUGAGAGGGUGAUCGGCCACACUGGAACUGAGACACGGUCCAGACUCCUACGGGAGGCAGCAGUAGGGAAUCUUCCGCAAUGGGCGAAAGCCUGACGGAGCAACGCCGCGUGAGUGAUGAAGGUCUUCGGAUCGUAAAACUCUGUUAUUAGGGAAGAACAUAUGUGUAAGUAACUGUGCACAUCUUGACGGUACCUAAUCAGAAAGCCACGGCUAACUACGUGCCAGCAGCCGCGGUAAUACGUAGGUGGCAAGCGUUAUCCGGAAUUAUUGGGCGUAAAGCGCGCGUAGGCGGUUUUUUAAGUCUGAUGUGAAAGCCCACGGCUCAACCGUGGAGGGUCAUUGGAAACUGGAAAACUUGAGUGCAGAAGAGGAAAGUGGAAUUCCAUGUGUAGCGGUGAAAUGCGCAGAGAUAUGGAGGAACACCAGUGGCGAAGGCGACUUUCUGGUCUGUAACUGACGCUGAUGUGCGAAAGCGUGGGGAUCAAACAGGAUUAGAUACCCUGGUAGUCCACGCCGUAAACGAUGAGUGCUAAGUGUUAGGGGGUUUCCGCCCCUCAGUGCUGCAGCUAACGCAUUAAGCACUCCGCCUGGGGAGUACGACCGCAAGGUUGAAACUCAAAGGAAUUGACGGGGACCCGCACAAGCGGUGGAGCAUGUGGUUUAAUUCGAAGCAACGCGAAGAACCUUACCAAAUCUUGACAUCCUUUGACAACUCUAGAGAUAGAGCCUUCCCCUUCGGGGGACAAAGUGACAGGUGGUGCAUGGUUGUCGUCAGCUCGUGUCGUGAGAUGUUGGGUUAAGUCCCGCAACGAGCGCAACCCUUAAGCUUAGUUGCCAUCAUUAAGUUGGGCACUCUAAGUUGACUGCCGGUGACAAACCGGAGGAAGGUGGGGAUGACGUCAAAUCAUCAUGCCCCUUAUGAUUUGGGCUACACACGUGCUACAAUGGACAAUACAAAGGGCAGCGAAACCGCGAGGUCAAGCAAAUCCCAUAAAGUUGUUCUCAGUUCGGAUUGUAGUCUGCAACUCGACUACAUGAAGCUGGAAUCGCUAGUAAUCGUAGAUCAGCAUGCUACGGUGAAUACGUUCCCGGGUCU